UCUUUACUUAGCGGCGGACGGGUGAGUAACACGUGGGCAACCUACCCUAUGGAGGGGAAUAACAGGGAGAAAUCUUUGCUAAUACCGCAUAGAUCCGAAGUUUUGCAUAAAGCUUUGGAGAAAGGAGAAAUCCGCCAUAGGAUGGGCCCGCGUCCCAUUAGCUAGUUGGUGAGAUAACAGCCCACCAAGGCGACGAUGGGUAGCCGACCUGAGAGGGUGAACGGCCACAUUGGAACUGAGACACGGUCCAGACUCCUACGGGAGGCAGCAGUGGGGAAUAUUGCACAAUGGGGGGAACCCUGAUGCAGCAACGCCGCGUGAGCGAUGAAGGUCUUCGGAUUGUAAAGCUCUGUCUUCGCUGACGAUAAUGACGGUAAGCGAGGAGGAAGCCACGGCUAACUACGUGCCAGCAGCCGCGGUAAUACGUAGGUGGCGAGCGUUGUCCGGAAUUACUGGGCGUAAAGGGUGCGUAGGCGGUUUUUUAAGUGGGAUGUGAAAUCCUGAGGCUUAACUUCAGAAUUGCAUUCCAAACUGGAAGGCUAGAGUACAGGAGAGGAAAGCGGAAUUCCCAGUGUAGCGGUGAAAUGCGUAGAGAUUGGGAGGAACACCAGUGGCGAAGGCGGCUUUCUGGACUGUAACUGACGCUGAGGCACGAAAGCGUGGGGAGCAAACAGGAUUAGAUACCCUGGUAGUCCACGCCG
rnacentral:rRNA from 1 species